UUGAACGCUGGCGGCAGGCCUAACACAUGCAAGUCGAGCGGUAGCACAGAGAGCUUGCUCUCGGGUGACGAGCGGCGGACGGGUGAGUAAUGUCUGGGAAACUGCCUGAUGGAGGGGGAUAACUACUGGAAACGGUAGCUAAUACCGCAUAAUGUCGCAAGACCAAAGUGGGGGACCUUCGGGCCUCAUGCCAUCAGAUGUGCCCAGAUGGGAUUAGCUAGUAGGUGGGGUAACGGCUCACCUAGGCGACGAUCCCUAGCUGGUCUGAGAGGAUGACCAGCCACACUGGAACUGAGACACGGUCCAGACUCCUACGGGAGGCAGCAGUGGGGAAUAUUGCACAAUGGGCGCAAGCCUGAUGCAGCCAUGCCGCGUGUGUGAAGAAGGCCUUCGGGUUGUAAAGCACUUUCAGCGGGGAGGAAGGCGUUAAGGUUAAUAACCUUGGCGAUUGACGUUACCCGCAGAAGAAGCACCGGCUAACUCCGUGCCAGCAGCCGCGGUAAUACGGAGGGUGCAAGCGUUAAUCGGAAUUACUGGGCGUAAAGCGCACGCAGGCGGUCUGUCAAGUCGGAUGUGAAAUCCCCGGGCUCAACCUGGGAACUGCAUUCGAAACUGGCAGGCUAGAGUCUUGUAGAGGGGGGUAGAAUUCCAGGUGUAGCGGUGAAAUGCGUAGAGAUCUGGAGGAAUACCGGUGGCGAAGGCGGCCCCCUGGACAAAGACUGACGCUCAGGUGCGAAAGCGUGGGGAGCAAACAGGAUUAGAUACCCUGGUAGUCCACGCCGUAAACGAUGUCGAUUUGGAGGUUGUGCCCUUGAGGCGUGGCUUCCGGAGCUAACGCGUUAAAUCGACCGCCUGGGGAGUACGGCCGCAAGGUUAAAACUCAAAUGAAUUGACGGGGGCCCGCACAAGCGGUGGAGCAUGUGGUUUAAUUCGAUGCAACGCGAAGAACCUUACCUGGUCUUGACAUCCACAGAACUUUCCAGAGAUGGAUUGGUGCCUUCGGGAACUGUGAGACAGGUGCUGCGUGGCUGUCGUCAGCUCGUGUUGUGAAAUGUUGGGUUAAGUCCCGCAACGAGCGCAACCCUUAUCCUUUGUUGCCAGCGGUCCGGCCGGGAACUCAAAGGAGACUGCCAGUGAUAAACUGGAGGAAGGUGGGGAUGACGUCAAGUCAUCAUGGCCCUUACGACCAGGGCUACACACGUGCUACAAUGGCAUAUACAAAGAGAAGCGACCUCGCGAGAGCAAGCGGACCUCAUAAAGUAUGUCGUAGUCCGGAUUGGAGUCUGCAACUCGACUCCAUGAAGUCGGAAUCGCUAGUAAUCGUAGAUCAGAAUGCUACGGUGAAUACGUUCCCGGGCCUUGUACACACCGCCCGUCACACCAUGGGAGUGGGUUGCAAAAGAAGUAGGUAGCUUAACCUUCGGGAGGGCGCUUACCACUUUGUGAUUCAUGACUGGGGUG
rnacentral:rRNA from 1 species